GAUAAUAAAAAGAUAAAUAAAAAGGAACAUGGAUAGAAAGAGAAAACACCUCUCUUUUCUUCAUCCUUUCCCCGAUUCUCCAUUGUUGACGAUGGAAGAUUUCAGCCAAGCUUUGAGCUCUCAAUUGUAUUCAAAUUCUGGAUGUUAGUACCCUUGGAGGCGGUCAAGUUGUUGGCACAGUUGCCAGGGAGGCAACGUCACAAGUUUAAUUUUAAUUUUUACACUCAAUAGGAAUAAUUAGGAAAUCUUUAGGUAAUAGAUACAAUUUAUUUAGCCAUAAAUAAUUAGGAAAACUACUCACAUUGUGCAAGUCUUAGGGACAUCGUUUGAUAUAGACUGUCUACAAUCUAGCAUUUCCCAUCAUGUUAUUCAUAACUCACAUUUUGAAAUAAAUUCUUCUUUACGAA